UACGAAGGGUGCAAGCGUUACUCGGAAUUACUGGGCGUAAAGCGUGCGUAGGUGGUGAGUUAAGUCUGUCGUGAAAGCCCCGGGCUCAACCUGGGAAUGGCGAUGGAUACUGGCUCGCUAGAGUGCGGUAGAGGAGAGUGGAAUUCCCGGUGUAGCAGUGAAAUGCGUAGAGAUCGGGAGGAACAUCAGUGGCGAAGGCGGCCCUCUGGUCCAGUACUGACACUCAAGUGCGAAAGCGUGGGGAGCAAACAGG
rnacentral:rRNA from 1 species